GCAGCAGCCGCGGUAAUACAGAGGUCUCAAGCGUUGUUCGGAUUCAUUGGGCGUAAAGGGUGCGUAGGUGGCGGGGUAAGUCAGGUGUGAAAUCUCGGGGCUCAACCUCGAAACUGCACUUGAUACUGCCAUGCUAGAGUAUUGGAGAGGAGAUUGGAAUUUACGGUGUAGCAGUGAAAUGCGUAGAUAUCGUAAGGAAGACCAGUGGCGAAGGCGAAUCUCUGGACAAUUACUGACACUGAGGCACGAAGGCCAGGGGAGCAAACGGGAUUAGAUACCCCCGUAGUCCCUGUCUCUUAUAA
rnacentral:rRNA from 1 species